rnacentral:rRNA from 1 species
UACGUAGGGGGCAAGCGUUGUCCGGAUUUAUUGGGCGUAAAAGGCUUGUAGGUGGCCACGCCAAGUCGGAUGUGAAAUCUCCCGGCUCAACUGGGAGGGGUCAUUCGAUACUGGCGGGCUCGAGGCCGGUAGGGGGAAGUGGAAUUCCCGGUGUAGUGGUGGAAUGCGUAGAUAUCGGGAGGAACACCAGUGGCGAAGGCGGCUUCCUGGACCGGUUCUGAUACUGAGGAGCGAAAGCGUGGGGAGCGAUCCGG